rnacentral:rRNA from 1 species
UACGUAGGGGGCGAGCGUUGUCCGGAAUUAUUGGGCGUAAAGCGCACGUAGGCGGAUUUGUCAGUCAGGGGUGAAAUCCUGGAGCUCAACUCCAGAACUGCCUUUGAUACUGGUGAGCUUGAGUCCGGAAGAGGUGAGUGGAACUGCGAGUGUAGAGGUGAAAUUCGUAGAUAUUCGCAAGAACACCAGUGGCGAAGGCGGCUCACUGGUCCGGUACUGACGCUGAGGUGCGAAAGCGUGGGGAGCAAACAGGG